rnacentral:rRNA from 1 species
UACAGAGGGUGCAAACGUUGUUCGGAAUUACUGGGCGUAAAGCGCACGUAGGCGGAUCGUUAAGUCGGGGGUGAAAUCCUGGAGCUCAACUCCAGAACUGCCUUCGAUACUGGCGAUCUUGAGUCCGGAAGAGGUGAGUGGAACUCCUAGUGUAGAGGUGGAAUUCGUAGAUAUUAGGAAGAACACCAGUGGCGAAGGCGGCUCACUGGUCCGGUACUGACGCUGAGACGCGAAAGCGUGGGGAGCGAACAGG